rnacentral:rRNA from 1 species
UACGUAGGUGGCGAGCGUUGUUCGGAUUUAUUGAGCGUAAAGGGUCCGUAGGCGGCCUGGAAAGUCGGAUGUGAAAUCCCACAGCUUAACUGUGGAACUGCAUUCGAAACUUCUAGGCUCGAGUGUGAUAGGGGUAAAGGGAAUUCCCGGUGUAAGGGUGAAAUCUGCAGAGAUCGGGAGGAACACCAGUCGCGAAGGCGCUUUACUGGAUCACUACUGACGCUGAGGGACAAAAGCCAGGGGAGCAAACGGG